UGUUCCCGACCCGGACCCUGGCAUAAUCUAGGGGACUAAACCAUUCGGCCCGGUCACGGGGUCGGAUGGGAAACCAAACAGUGACUGGGCCCGUCGGCGACUUGUUCGCGUGAUCGCCGGGGCCGAGAAAAUCGCAGCGAACUGCACACGGAGAAGCCCUGAUUCCGCACCGUUGGACGCGGGUUCGAUUCCCGCCAUCUCCACUC
rnacentral:tmRNA from 1 species